GCUCUGAGAGGCAACCAUUUCUAGGGAAAGGUCUUGUCCUCUUAGUAACAACAACAAAAGAAGUCCAUUUUCAAACAUCUAUUAGACAAUGUCAAUCUUUCUUUUCAAUUGUAUGCUUAGCUUAGCAAAGAGAGUCAGGUGGAAUCUCACACCUUGCCCAAAUUGUAUUUGGUGUGAGGCUCUUCAAAGCUUCCAAGACACCAUCCUUCUCCUCUCCCCCUAUCAGUGGAACAGAUAAAACUGGAGCAACCUGCAUUAUUCUAAAACCAUAGAGAUGAUAUUUCUGUUUGCUUUUCUACUCAUUAGGAAGCUCUGAGAGGAUGCAUAAGAAAUGAAUCACAGUGGGUGAAGAAACUGGACAGACUUCAGUGGGUGAGGAAACUGGGGAGACUUUUCACAUGUACAUUUUGGGUAUUUUUAAACCAUGAGAAUUACUGCCUAUUCAUGAAAAAUUAACCUGAGUAGAAUAUAUAUGAGAGAGUUGCUGCUAAAUAUAUUCCACAUAAUACCACAUAUUGAGGAGGAGGAUGUUACCUACUGAAGAUAUGGGAUUGAAAAACAUGCAAUAACUUUCUGUUUUGCUCAAUGGGUCAUAAGUUGAAAAUUAGACUAGAAAAUAUUUGUUCAGAGAAGUACAAAAUCUUAGGUGAGGCAAAAUGCACACUAGUCCUCUCCUCCCUUAUCUUUCCAAAUGGGGAGACUUGUCAGUUUAAAGCCAUUUGCUCCUCCAGUUAAGUUCUAGGAUCGUAGACUUGGAGGACUGGCUGAGCCAUCAGUCCCAAGUGGAAAGGCUAAGCUAAGCAUACAACUGAAAAGAAAGAUUGACAUUGUCUAAUAGAUGUUUGAAAAUUGACUUCUUUUGUUGUUGUUACUAAGAGGACAAGACCUUUCCCUAGAAAUGGUUGCCUCUCAGAGCACUCCCCUUCACAUACAUCCUCUUACACCUUAGCAGCCUGAGCAAUUUUCUCCCUUCCCAAGGCUUUACCUAGGUGUAAAAGUUCUUGUUACUCAUGAACUUUAAGUUUAAAUAAAAAAGGGGGGAGUAAUGAUGUAAACUCUUUUCAUGUUGUAAACUCAGAAACAAAGGGAUCAACUAAGCAGGGUGUGGAACAAUCGACCCCUUCUACCCAUAGGUCAUUAAAUGGCUGCUGGAUGCCAAAAAGAUUUUAAGCUAGAACUGUUUUCCUUUUCAAGAAAUAUGCAAAUAAACAAACAAACUCUACCAAAGGAUAGAGCUCUUCAGGUCAUUCUUUUGUUUAUGUCUCCUGCAGCUUUUCCUGUUGCAUAGUCCCAGCUAAUAAACAACUUAAGCCACUCUUACAGUGAAGUUCAAAUUGCAAAAUAAGAGACUUAACUGUCUUGUUUAAAGGUAUGCUAUAUAUCAAGUCACAAGGCAAUAAUAUCUAUUCUAUCCUUUUGCGGCAAUAAACAGACCCGCCCCAAAACACAAAAUCAGAUGGCCUUUUCCCACAAAGGCAGGUGGUUAACAAUAGGAUUUCCAAAGGGCACUCAUUUAUGUUGGAAGCUGAUAGGCAUUUCACAUAGUGACCAGGAGAAAGAAUGGGUCAAUGUUUGUAAUACCCAAAAAGGUGGCAACUGGGGGAAACGGUGGGGCAGGAAGGAAAUGGAAGGGAGUUGAAAGCAUCCUUGGUUUCCCCAGCUGUUUGCAGAAGUUGGAACAUACGGUGCCAGGAUUUUUCCAAGAUGGCAAGGGAUAGAAAGUAAAAUUAUUACCCCCUGCCCCCCGCCAAAGAAUGCCUUCCAACAAAUAAAGAUGUAUUCGCAGUUUGGAGACUUUUCUCCUUCCACAGGAAAUGAGCAGAGGUCACUUAGAACCAAUUCUCAUCAUUUAGUAAAAAUAACAGGGUGAUAAUAGAAGCAACAGAAGGAGUCAAGGUGUUUGUGCUAAAAAAAAAAAACUUUAAGUUCAGGCCUGGCCUGGAGUGGGAAUAUCCAAAUGGGUUCUUCAUAUUUCAAGUUUUAUAGACAGUCUUUUCCCUAAAGGAUAUACUUUCAUUAGGUCAUAAAUGCACCAACAGAUGAGAGAGGGAAAGAGGUGUGUGUGUGUGUCUGUGUGUGUGUGUGUGUUUGCAUGUGGCCAGAAUGGCAGAGCAGGUAUGGAGGUCAGGCUGUGCGGGGAGGUGGUGGGGCUGUGUGUCACCCACCUGUGAGGGCAGCAGCCAGGGACUACGACUUCAGGUGGCCCUCUGUGCCUAGGCUUCUCCUUGGUUAUCUUAGUUCUCAGGUUUCCCGUGGGUUCCACUGAGGCUCCUAAUUGCUCCAAAUCCAGGCAUUUACUUGCCUAAAGGCCACAAGAAGUGGGGUGGGGACGUAUCUUUUUCAGAGAGUUUGUUAAAAAUUUAACUCAGAGAAGUGUAUUAGUUGGGGCCUCAAUGCCUGAACUUGGGUGGGAGAAAAAUGGGUUGUUUGGCGACUUUCAUUUCUCGCUGGACCCCAAUUCCCCAGAUUGGAGAGGUUUACCUCCUCCAAAACCCAAGGGGCCCAACUGGGUGCCCCUCGGGGGCCAAUGCUCUUCAUCUUCCCACUCCCUGUUCCAUGCAAGAGAGGACUUUGCAGACAGAAUCGUCCUGACCCGAUAGCCACGUAGGCUUCCUUCCGAGCACUUCUCAAAGUGAGUCUGGGUUUUGCUACCAGUAUCAAUUAGCCGCUUCUGGCGAAUCCCAGAGAAUGUUUAAUUAACUCCACAGCUCUGAUUCACACUUACAGGUUGGUAGCAGUUUAAAAUUAUUGUAAAACACCACCCGGAUAAUAUAUUUACUUUUUGUCUAGGCCAGAUUAGCAAGACACGCGCACACACUCUACGUUUAAGUCACACCCUGCAAUGCAGAGAAAAUAUUUCAAUAGGCAUCUGCAGGCGGCCGAGAAGAACUGGAGCAAUGAUUAUUUUCCUCCUUUUUUGAUUUUCUGUUUCUAAAGAAAGCACUGGUAUCAAGGACGAGUUAGGUAAUGCGUAUUAAAAGGCAAGCAGGUCGCUCUCGUUUACGCCCAAUCAUAGUUCAUAGUUCAAGGAAAACUGCCUUUAAUUGACACCGUGUAUAUUCCUCUGCUCCUCUCAGGCUGCCCUGGCAGGGACGCCCCAAGAGUAUUUAUUUCUAGGGUUGGAAACAAAACAACCAACCCCGUCUACUGCGUAAGAGAGCGUUCCAAGAUGGACUGCCGGAGAAAGGCUUUUUGACCCCUGUGGAAAUUAGUCAUAUUGACAGACGCCCAGGGAAGGUAAAUUACCCCGCGCGCUGACGUUACGCAGAGGCGCACCGGGUUCCGACUCCACCGCGGCGCCGAGGGGGCCAGAGGCUCCCAGUUCUUCCCCGCAUAGUUCGACAAAGCCCUACUUUGCUUCCCUGGGUCUGGGAUCUCAACGUGAAGGGGGCCGAGAGAGCGGUGAUAAGGUGCUAGAAAGGAAACGGCAAGAGGAAACUAAAAAAGUGGAGAGAAAUUUUGUGCGCCGUAGUGCUUAGCAAGCUGGGGAAACGAGGAGAAAACGAGCAAAGUCUACAGGGGAGGGAGAGAGGGAGGAGGCAGGGAAGGAGAGGACCACGAGGCUCCCGGCGCCCAGGCCGCCACUUGGGAGGUCCCGGCCCCAAAGCAGGCCGGGCCAACCGUCCCCCCGGGAGGCUCGGGGCUCGGGCGGGGUCACAAUUACACCUCGGCUCCAGGCGAGGACUUAAAAACCAAGUGGUGGGGACUGCAGUCUGGAAGCAAGGCCCUGCGGUCAUCGGAGGGGGGCCAGGCCCGUGCACAGGAACCUUUUACAAGAUGGUGUCCCAGGACUGCAAGUAACUGCGUACAUCCACACAGCGCAUUACACCAACCUGAGAAGAAUCCUUGCGUGACCGGAUUGUUUCUGGUAUAAAAUAGGGCCUAACGGUCCCAUCUCUUUUCUUUUAAAAAACUGAGUCUGUGGAGGGGGCUUAUUGGAAAGCAUCAAAAGAGUGGCAUCUGAUUUUCUGAUUUUACCGGAGAUUGGACUGGAGGUCUUCUUUACUAAGAGUAACAGGCGUAGCCACAAAAGAGCCUGGUCUGGUCGCAAAGUAAAGGCAAAACUAGUGUGGGCCCUUAGCCUCGCCGGCCCCGGCCCUCGGAAUGCAAAAGGCGAAAGCUCCCUCCUGGGCAGGGCCAGAGCGAGAGCGAGUGAGGAGCUCCUCCCGGACCUCGGGCCUAGCUUCGGAGGUAUUUUUAGCUCCUCUCUCUGCUCCCCAGAGGCUCUUUUGUAAGCUUAACAGAGGCUCAGCAAGCUGCCCUCACCCCGAAGGGCUGUGGGAGGAGGCUGCCCUAGUAUCUUGAAGAAAAAAGAAAUUGCCUAUCCUUAAGUUUAAAACAAUAUUCGCUCUCUCUAGGCUCCCCUUCUGUUCUCUCGUUUUUUUCGCCCGCAGGAACACUCCAAGUUCCACAGUUAAAGAGGACCGGGAGGGCAGGAAUGGGUGGGGCCUGGAAAUCAGCUCCGAAACUGGGUGCGGCACACCUUCCUCUGCCUUUCUGCCUCUCUCCCGGCCACUGCUGCUCCACGGGAGCCAGUCUUGGAUACCUAGGGUGGGGGACAGGGGGACGGGAAGAGCCUCGGUUGUCUCCAGAACCUGCCGAGCCCCUGCUGCAUCUGGGACCCGCCUUCACCGUUUCCCAAUCCCAGCGGUUAGCCCCUGCGCCCCCUUUUUGGUCUCCACUUUGCCGUUCGAAAAUGCCUAGGUUGGUGGAUCGACCCUCCGCGGAGCAAAGACGGAUGGCUGGCAGGAGCAGGUUCAGGAGCUGGGCCAAGUUUCACACGAAGAGACUUGGAGUAUCUGGAGAAGGUUUUUGAAGACGUUUAGGAGGGAGGGUGAGUUUUCUGCUGAGAAACUCAAUCUGCCAUACAGUAGCGGCCCCAUCUGGGAUCUGUCACUGCUGACAGCACCAGAGGGCACAGCCGUGAUCUUCUGCACAGCCUGCACUCCCCGAAAUACCCUCCUUAAUCAAAGGAUGUCUGCGCGCCUGAGCUCAGCUGACCGCGCCGGGAGCACCAGGGCCGUUGGAUUCCACCCCAGCCCGCCCCCUCCCCACGCACACAGCCACGGCCCCUCGCGUCUUCGCGGCACGUUAAUUAAAUGCGGAAAACAGACAGAGGCUGAUGUCAUUGCUCUCACAAGAUCAUAAACGUAAAAGAGUCAUCCUGUGAGAAUCCCUGAAAAUGACUUUAAUGAAUAAUUUCAGAGACAGUUAUGACUUUGGGUGAUUACUGAGCAAGAAUAUGAAAACCAGAUUUGCAAAGCGAAGGCGAUGGUCAAAAGGCCUGGCAGUUACUUUCUCUCAUUAAAACCGCACCGGCUUUCCUUCUUCGCCAAGUACUAGUUACCAACUGAGGUUGCGUUUUCAGGUUUUCUUCUUCAAAAUAACAGUCUUCUUUUCCUGCUUUUCUGCCUUAUCCUAAAGACAAAAUGUCAGCUCCAGGGAACGACAUUAACAACCCACUUUAAAUUGAAGGCAACUCUGCACUGGCGUCAGUGGCCAUUGGCUUCCAUCUUUUUACAAAGGUUGGAUUUACUGCCAUCUUAGGAUCAUAUCUCUUUUGGCCUCUUCUCUAGGCAAUGUAUUUAAUGAAGGUUGAACAUUCUCACUGACCCUGAGUCAGUGCACUGUUUGUUGUAAAGGAUCUCAGCUGGUGGGGCAAAAAACAAGUUCCAAACAACCUGCCUUUACAGAAGAGUCUCCCUGACUCUUUAGUUCUAGGUCACCAAUGAACUGAAAAAUGAUUUGGUGCUACAUUAAGGAAUAUUUUCAAACACUCCAUCUGGCCAUGGAGAAGCAUCCAGUUGGUUAUAUCUGGUUGCUCAUGCAUUAAAAAUACUAUUUGAGAAAACAACUAGGGUGUUAGUUGUGGAAGUGGCCUGGUGAGUACCCUCUGAUCUUUUGCACGAAGUUUAGCUGCCUGCAAGUCUGUCUUCUUUGCUUGAAAAUAUAAACUGGGACUCUCUGGGCCUGUGUCCCAUGUGGAUUUAUUCCACUUAAUUCAAGUAAAAGUUUGUUUAUACUCUGAGCAAGAAAGUAUUAUAGGCACAAGUGAUGUGGAGUUUUCAGUUUGCUUGUUUUUUGCUGUUGUUUGUUUGCUUUUGAGCGAUCUGAGUGAUUUAGAAAACUAAUGUGUCUCAGUCGGCUCCACCAUUCAGACAGAUCAUAGAGAACCCACUUACCAGCACUCUAGAAAACUGUACUUUGUGCAGACAUUGCCUGAUCCUCCCCUUUCUAGAAGCACAGAUAGGCCAGAAUCCUUCAGUCACUGAGGACACAAUUGUCUAAAAGCCUCAUUCCCUAUCAUUAGCCCCCAAACCGCAGAGCUGUUUCCUUCCCUCUUGGCUCCAGAUAGGGGUGGGUGGGAGAGGGGACUAGGCUCUCCAUGUGACAUUUCCCUGACUUGAGAGGAAAUGUUUCUUUCUGAUUCUAGAUUACAUGAAGACACUUUGGAGUUGGUGUAUAGGGUUUCCUCAAAGAACUGAGGUAACGUGGACUUUAGGGAAUUUUCCUCAAUUGGAUUCCCUGUUUAUUUGUGAUACUAUUUGUGUCCCCCAAAUAGAUCUUCUUGUUGCUCCACUCACAUCAUGAGCAGUUUUCCUUUUCCUCUAGUUACAUUCACUCUAGCUUCUGACUGAAGACUCUGCUUGCCCUUUGUAGCCCGUGCAGGAAUAAACAGCAUCUUCUGGAUUUGCUUUGAAUCCUUGUGCUGCCCAAUGAGUCAGAGGUGUAGGGUUGAUCCAAUAAUAUGGCUAAUUCUCUCCCUGUAAAGACUUUAAAUAAUGUAGGCCUCUCUUCACCCAUCCCCCAUUCUCACCAUCCUGGACUUCACGCGGGUCAUGGAGAAGGUGUCCAGGGUGGGAGGCACGCUGGGUGGGUGUGGCCUCCUUUGGCACAGUG
rnacentral:lncRNA from 10 species